GGUAGCUACGUCUGGUGCGGAUAAGCGCUGAAAGCAUCUAAGUGCGAAGCCGUCCCCAAGAUUAGAUCUCCCACCGGUAUAACCGGGUAAGACCGCAAGUAGACUACUUGUUUGAUAGGCGGUAUGUAUAAGGGCAGUAAUGUCUUUAGCUAAACCGUACUAAUGGUCGAGGGCUUGACCUG
rnacentral:rRNA from 1 species